rnacentral:rRNA from 11 species
AACAACAAUUUCAGGUGCCUACGUCUCCAGAACCUAUCUGAUCUUGGAAAUUAAGCAGGGUUGCCUCUCGUUAGUACUUGGAUAGAUCACUCCUAAUGAAUACCAGGAGCUGUUGGCU